GUGCUCAGUUUAGUAGUGCAUCUAAUAAAGACUUGGAAUGAUUCAGAGAAGAUUAACAUGGCCUCUGCAUAAGGAUGACAUGUGAAUUCAUAAAGUGUUUCAUACUUUU
ensembl:snRNA U6 U6 spliceosomal RNA